GUGAGAUGGAAUCAGUGUUUGUACAUGCGAUUUUACGCUGAUGUCAUCUCAUGA
rfam:Solanum tuberosum cultivar DM 1-3 516 R44 scf00271_14, whole genome shotgun sequence.